GUGAACAGGUCAAGACCGCUCAGAGGGCCGUAGUCCACGCCACAAGGCCCUGUGUCACACCAAUUCUGAUUCCAUGAAGUGUCCAGAACCAGCAAGUCCACAGGGACAGCAAGGAGCUGACAGGGGCAGUGGGGAGACUCUGAUGGGCUCCUUUCGGGGUGGUGGAAGUUCUGGAAUGAGUGGCAAUGGUUGCGCGAUGUUGUGAAUGUGCUGAAGGCCGCGGGGCAUCCCUUUCAGAUGGGAGCAUGUGCAGUGUGUAAAUUCUAUCUCAGCGAAGGUCAGCCAGCAGGUGCCCUGAGAUCCUGGCAUUCUCGUGACCAGGCUGCAGGGGGCUGGCAUUUUUUUCUGUUCUGUAUUUAAAAAGAUUGCACAGGCGUGAUCUCCAGAACAAGGCUGGAGGAGGAAACCCAUUCCUCGGUAAAGCCCCUCCCUCGCUCCCGGCCAGCGUCCCUGGUGUCCCGACGUCUGCGCUCAGAAGGCUGCAUGCUCCGCCACUGCUGUCCCAGAAUUCUUCAUUUUUGAGCAAGAAGCCCAACGUUCUUAUUUUGCGUGACCCAGAGUGAAGCCCACCAGGCUCCCUGCCCCACCAACCCCCAACCAGGCAAAGGGGCAGCCUGGGCACUGGGCAGGGCUAGCAGGGCUGAUCUGCAGGCCUCGGACACCAGGCCCCACCCAAGACACCAGCCCCUGGGACCUGCCACCGCCUGCACUCGGCUGAGCUGCCCCAGCUGUGCGGGGCUCCACGCGCUGGGGAAGGAAGGACGUUCAAAGGGGAAACGUGGACACAGACACGCACGGGAGAGGCGUGGAAAGGUGAGAAGAUGAAGGCAGAGGCCAAGUGAUGGUUUCUCGAGCCAAGGAACACCAGGAUCGCAGCAAACCUCCAGCACCCAGGUCUCCCACUUCCGGCUCCAGCACAGUGACACUGAAUUUCUGUUGUCAAAGCCCAGUCUGCGGCCCUGUGUUGGGUGGUCCGAGGACCCCACCGUCCCUCCCACCGCAAGCUGCGUGUCAGUGUACUUGCAGUGCCUUGACACGGCCGUGCUGAGUGAGCGUGAAUGAGCCUCCCUGUGUGUGAGCGACGCUGCCCAGGGAACGCGGCACCGCGGCUUCCUCAGGCCCCUCACCUCCCACCCCGCUGCGUGGCCACCCAGCCGCCCCUCUCGGCUUCCAGGGUCCCUGCAGGGACUUGGCACACAGAGCUAGGCGGCAGCUGAGCCGCAUCCUUCCUGCUCCUGCCCCGGGCCAGCCUAGUGAGGGUCCUUCCCCCAGGGCGGCAGCUGCCCAACACUCUCAAGACACACCGGCCCGGAACGUUCCUUCCAGAGCCCACAGAGCACAGAGCUCUUGCCGUGAGGAAGGCCGGGUGCAGCAGGAGACAGCGGCCCACACACAUGGCUGCAGACACACAUUUCCUCCUGCACACGGGGAGCAAACAGCUUCCGGAAGCUCCCGGGCCGGGCGGCCAGCAUUUGCUCAGAGACAGGAGGAGCCUGGCAUAAGCAUGGCUCAGGAAGGCGGCUUUGCUGGCGCAAUCAUCCUUAAAGCACAUGCCCGUCCCACGCUGACAGCUUAAAUCCUGUGAUCUUCACAGAGGUGAAUGUGAAGUCAGCAUCUCUCGCCGGGGUGUGGGCAGAGCCAGCCCGGACGCAGCACGGCCUCUUCCUCCAAAUCCCGCAGGAUCCCAGAGCCCGUGACCAUCUGAGCACUGGGCGGGGACCUGAUUCAGCAGGCAGGGGCGUCUGGGGCUUAGGAGCCUGGCUUUCCCCGGGAUUCGCUGCCUCCACCAUCAAAGUAGCUCAAAUGGUUAUUGGGUUUGGGGAUUUUUUUGUUUUUUUGUUUUUUCCUAUCUAAAAAAUAACAAAAGUCUCUCCAAGGUCA